CGCGUAGGCGGACCUUCAAGUCGGUAGUGAAAACUGGCAGCUUAACUGCCAGCCUGCUUUCGAUACUGUUGGUCUUGAGUACAGGAGAGGAAAGCGGAAUUCCAGGUGUAGCGGUGAAAUGCGUAGAUAUCUGGAAGAACACCAGUAGCGAAGGCGGCUUUCUGGACUGAUACUGACGCUAAAGCGCGAAGGCUAGGGUAGCAAACA
rnacentral:rRNA from 1 species